rnacentral:rRNA from 1 species
GUACUGCACUCUGCCUGAACUGUUCCAUAUAUUCAUAUAAGACAUAUUCAGAGACAAAAGAUGUGAUGAAAAAAUAUGUGAAUGCUACAGAGGGUGCAAUUAUCUAUAGCAUUAUCCAUUUGCAAAGUAUUCAGCUAAGGAGCUUACACCGAUCCGUGAACGUCGUAAGAUGUGGGAGAGCCGUAUUCCGGAUGUUCUUGACAUCUUAAAGGCAGGAAGCGAGGCUGCACAGAAGAAAGCAGCAGCAACUCUUCAUGAUGUACGUUCUGCUAUGAAGAUCAAUUACUUUGAUGCAGACGGGCUGGAGAAUGAUUAUAAAUAAAAUUGACAGACAUAAGAGGACGGUCGUGAAAACGGCCGUCCUUUUGUUGUACAGCAAAAAGUUGGAAAAGUUGCAAAAAACAUGUACAAUAAGGAUGGAAAAGUUACAGAAUAUAUGGGGAGACACCGGAUAUGAAAAAGACGAUUUUAUUAUUAGGGGCAGUUGGAGUGCUUAUGAUGACAGGGUGUGCCGAUGAAGGUAUCACGACAGAUUAUGGAGAAUGGGUAGCUACAUCCGAAUACAGUAUGGAUGGAACAACUGAGAAUUACCGGACAAUAGAAGUAGAUGCGACAGCGGAGAAGACAGAAGCAGCAUCAGAAAAAGAAACGGAGGAAAGUUCAGAUCAGAUGGAUGCACAGAAGAAAGACAGCACAGAUCUACAGCUAAGGUCCCAAAUUGUAUCUAAGUGGAAAACGAUGUGGAAAUACGCAGACAACCAGGAUGUUGGCUCAGAAGCAGCCACUCAUUUAAAGAGUGCGUAAUAGCUCACUGGUCGAGCGUCUCUGCGCGGAAAAUUUAACGGGGCUAAGAUACAAACCGAAGCUUAGGCUGCACGUAAGUGCGGGGUAGGGGAGCGUUGUGUAAGCGGAGAAACAGUAGCGGAAGCGGCUGUGGAGUUUACAGAAGUGAGAAUGCCGGAAUGAGUAGCGCGAAUGUGGUGAGAAUCCACAUGGCCGGAAACCUCAGGUUUUUGGAGGAAGGUUCGUCCGCUCCAAGUAAGUCGGGAGCUAAGGUCAGGCCGAAAGGCGUAGCCGAUGCACAUACGGUUGAUAUUCCGUAACCAUCUGUAAUUUAAGCAAAGGGACACUUCAAAAGGGUGUGACCCGGGCGUUGGUUGACCCGGGCGUAAGGGACCGAAAUUAGAGUAGGGAAGCACACUUGGCUGAAGGCGAGAAAAGCUUUGCGUAUAGAAACAGAUGCCCGUACCGCAAACCGACACAGGUGGACAGGAAGAGAAUUCUAAGGCCAGCGGGAGAAGGGUAGUUAAGGAACUCGGCAAAUUGACUCCGUAACUUCGGAAUAAGGAGUGCUCGAAAGAGCCGCAGAGAAUAGGCCCAGGCGACUGUUUAGCAAAAACACAGGUCUCUGCCAAAUCGAAAGAUGAAGUAUAGGGGCUGACACCUGCCCGGUGCUGGAAGGUUAAGAGGAGGAGUGAGAGCUCCGAAUUGAAGCCCCAGUAAACGGCGGCCGUAACUAUAACGGUCCUAAGGUAGCGAAAUUCCUUGUCGGGUAAGUUCCGACCCGCACGAAUGGCGUAACGACUUGGGCACUGUCUCAACAAGGGACCCGGCGAAAUUGUAGUAUGUGUGAAGAUGCACAUUACCCGCGAUAGGACGGAAAGACCCCGUAGAGCUUUACUGUAGUUUAACAUUGGAUUUCGGUAACAUAUGUACAGGAUAGGUGGGAGGCGAAGAACCAGGGACGCCAGUUUCUGGGGAGCCGACCUUGGGAUACCACUCUUGUGUUAUUGGAGUUCUAACGAAUUGCCGUGAACCGGGAUUCGGACAGUGUUAGAUGGGCAGUUUGACUGGGGCGGUCGCCUCCUAAAGAGUAACGGAGGCGUCCAAAGGUUCCCUCAGAAUGGUUGGAAACCAUUCGCAGAGUGUAAAGGCAGAAGGGAGCUUGACUGCGAGACCGACAGGUCGAGCAGGUGCGAAAGCAGGGCUUAACUUCUGUGUUCGGUAUGAGAACAGGUGGAUCCCCUUAGCUUAACCACCGGAAUGGUAAGGUAUUAAGUUUCCUUGAGUACCUUGAAAACUGCAUAAUUCGUAAACUCACUUUGAUCAAGCCCUCGACCUAUUAGUAUCGGUCAGCUGCAUGCAUUGCUGCACUUCCACCUCCGACCUAUCAACCUGGUAGUCUUCCAGGGGUCUUACCCAUUUCUGGUGGGAGAUCUUAUCUUGAGGUCGGCUUCACGCUUAGAUGCCUUCAGCGUUUAUCCGAUCCGCACUUGGCUACCCAGCUAUGCUCUUGGCAGAACAACUGAUUCACCCUUGGUGCGUCCAUCCUGGUCCUCUCGUACUAGGGACAGCUCCUCUCAAAUCUCCUGCGCCCACGA